rnacentral:rRNA from 1 species
AACGCGAAGAACCUUACCAAGGUUUGACAUGGCCGGAAAACUCGCAGAGAUGCGGGGUCCUUCGGGGCCGGUCACAGGUGGUGCAUGGCUGUCGUCAGCUCGUGUCGUGAGAUGUUGGGUUAAGUCCCGCAACGAGCGCAACCCUCGUCCUAUGUUGCCAGCGGGUCAUGCCGGGGACUCAUGGGAGACUGCCGGGGUCAACUCGGAGGAAGGUGGGGAUGACGUCAAGUCAUCAUGCCCCUUAUGUCUUGGGCUGCAAACAUGCUACAAUGGCCGGUACAGAGGGCUGCGAGACCGUGAGGUUAAGCGAAUCCCGGAAAGCCGGUCUCAGUUCGGAUCGGGGUCUGCAACUCGGCCCCGUGAAGCUGGAGUCGCUAGUAAUCGCGGAUCAGCAACGCCGCGGUGAAUACGUUCCCGGGCCUUGUACACACCGAGUAUA